rnacentral:rRNA from 1 species
CAGCAGCCGCGGGAAUACGUAGGGUGCGAGCGUUAAUCAGAAUUACUGGGCGUAAAGCGUGCGCAGGCGGUUGUGUAAGACAGGUGUGAAAUCCCCGGGCUUAACCUGGGAACCGCGCUUGUGACUGCACAGCUAGAGUAUGGCAGAGGGGGGUGGAAUUCCACGUGUAGCAGUGAAAUGCGUAGAGAUGUGGAGGAACACCGAUGGCGAAGGCAGCCCCCUGGGCCAAUACUGACGCUCGUGCACGAAAGCGUGGGGAGCAAACAGGAUUAGAUACCCGCGUAGUCCCUGUCUCUUAUAA